AACGUUUCUCAGUCUUUUGACUAAAAUCAAGUGUAGUGUCUGUUCUUAUUAGUUGUCAGUCUGCCAUUAUCUCUUGGCAGGCUUAGGUUUCCAGAGCUUACUAUCAGUUUUAUUUCAGAGUUCUCAAGGAGUGAAACUUGCUCUUUACAGUGGUUUCUUUUAUGUGUAUGGGUGUAUUGGCUGCCUGGAUGCAAAGUUCA